UACGUAGGGGGGCAAGCGUUGUCCGGAUUUAUUGGGCGUAAAGAGCGUGUAGGCGGUUUGGUAGGUCCGUUGUGAAAACUCGAGGCUCAACCUCGAGACGUCGGUUGAAACCGUUUGGCUAGAGUCCGGAAGAGGAGAGUGGAAUUCCCGGUGUAGCGGUGAAAUGCGCAGAUAUCGGGAAGAACACCCGUGGCGAAGGCGGCUCUCUGGGACGGUACUGGACGCUGAGACGCGAAAGCGUGGGGAGCGAACAGG
rnacentral:rRNA from 1 species